rnacentral:rRNA from 1 species
UACGAAGGGGGGCUAGCGUUGCUCGGAAUUACUGGGCGUAAAGGGAGCGUAGGCGGAUAUUUAAGUCGGGGGGUGAAAGCCCAGGGCUCAACCCUGGAAUUGCCUUCGAUACUGGAUAUCUAGAGUAUGGGAGAGGUGUGUGGAACUCCCGAGUGUAGAGGUGAAAUUGUAGAUAUUCGGAAGAACACCAGUGGCGAAGGCGACACACUGGCCCAUUACUGACGCUGAGGCUCGAAAGCGUGGGGAGCAAACAGG